GAUGAACGCUAGCUACAGGCUUAACACAUGCAAGUCAAGGGGAAACGAUAUUUGAAGCUUGCUUCCGAUAGGCGUCGACCGGCGCACGGGUGAGUAACGCGUAUCCAACCUGCCCAUCACUUGGGGAUAACCUUGCGAAAGUAAGACUAAUACCCAAUGAUAUCUCUAGAAGACAUCUGAAAGGGAUUAAAGAUUUAUCGGUGAUGGAUGGGGAUGCGUCUGAUUAGCUUGUUGGCGGGGUAACUGCCCACCAAGGCGACGAUCAGUAGGGGUUCUGAGAGGAAGGUCCCCCACAUUGGAACUGAGACACGGUCCAAACGCCUACGGGAGGCAGCAGUGAGGAAUAUUGGUCAAUGGACGAGAGUCUGAACCAGCCAAGUAGCGUGCAGGAUGACGGCCCUAUGGGUUGUAAACUGCUUUUAUAAGGGAAUAAAGUGAGCCUCGUGAGGCUUUUUGCAUGUACCUUAUGAAUAAGGACCGGCUAAUUCCGUGCCAGCCGCCGCGGUAA
rnacentral:rRNA from 1 species